rnacentral:lncRNA from 1 species
GGGCUGGCUUAAACAAAAAUUCAGCUCUUUGGAAUAACUCCAGACUUAAUGGGUGUGCUAGCUAGGGCUGGGGACUUGAUCUGUGUAAACUGUUGCCUUGAUUUGGUUUUGAAAGCACUGCAGACUUCUCUGCUGUACCUCACUAAGACGAGCUAGUGCUUUUAACUCUAAACCCAGAUGAGCAUUUCUGAUGGCCUGAUCUACUGUAGCCAUAGCACAAAGAACAGGAAUCACGUGAUUAUGAAGUCACUGGAAAGGCUAGAGGAAACAGAAGUCAGGGACUCCAUUGAUUGGUGUGAAAGACAGACCCAGCAACCAUGGACUGUGGAGGUUGCGUGGGCUGAGUAGCUAUAGGCAUUGGACACUCACAUCUUGACAACUUUGUUUGUUAGGAGAAACAGCAACACAAUGUCUUCAGCCUCCUUCCAUCUUCUGUGUGUCAUAAAGAAGCCUGUAAUUGGUGGAACCUAACUGUCCAAUGAGACCCUAAAAGCAAAGGCAUCUGGGAAAUGUAGUUCUUAGUGUUACUUAUUUGGCAGUGUGGGAAGUUACCUCACACAUGGGUUGGAAGGAGCCAACCCAUGGGCCACUCUUACUACACAUAGUUUAUUUACUAUAUAAUAAUUAUACAGCGAGGAUAUAUGAUUAAUAUAAUGAUAUCAGCAAUGGCAGGCAUUACAUUCCCCACACUAUGCAAGCCAUUUACACUACAUCAUAUCCUCACAACAAUUUUGUAAUUGUUCUUGAUUUACAAAUGAGAAAAACUGGGGUUGAGAGAAGACUUACACGAGCCUGGGAGGCUUUAAAUCUUGCAAUUCUCAUAACUUUUUUUUUGCAUAUUUUUUUGGCACAGAGUAAUCACUUAUCUUAAAAAAUUAAAAAGAAUUUAUAGUUUUAGAUUUUUCAAAUCUUACUUUUAAUACGGGUUCUUAAAUGCUUUAACCUUCCUUCUAUCCCACCACCCACCAGAGGUAGGAGAAAAGAAGAGUUGUUAGGAUAUGGGGGCAGUGGACCUGUUUAGAAACUGUUCUUUGGAGCAAAUCCAAUUUGUGUUAUCAGGAGAUCAGCAGUUCAUUUACAGGAAUCAUCAGUUGCAGCUUGAUCCAUUUGCAAACACUUCACGAACUAUCAAUCGGUAGUGUUAAGAUAGCAAACAUGAAUCAGCAGUGGAAUGACCUAGCAGAGACAUCCAGGUCUUAGAUGAAUCAGCAUGAAUCAGCAGGAGGAACCAGGACUACCAGGGACAUCAGCAGAAGUUCUUUGCCUUGCCUCUCUCAAAGAAACAAUGAUCAUUGAAGACUGGCGACCAAGAAGCCUUCUUUGCAGAGCUAGCUAUGCAAGCAAGCGCCCCUCACAGUCUGUUGAGUCCUAUUUAUACUCCCUCCAAACAUCACGUGUCCUCCAUGGGUCUUACCUCACCACGUGUCUUGCCUCAGCACGUGCGUCUGUAUCAACUGCCAUCAUUCUGCCAAUUGGCUCGAGUCUGCAGAAGUGGCAAAAAGCAUCAGGCACACCACCUUUGAUGUGUCUAUCUCUAUGGAGUCCCUACAAACAAUGACCAAUAAACAAUGGUAAGGCGUACCAAUACCAACCAGCA